UGGGGAAUUUUGGACAAUGGGCGAAANCCUGAUCCAGCAAUGCCGCGUGUGUGAAGAAGGCCUUCGGGUUGUAAAGCACUUUUGUCCGGAAAGAAAUCCUUGGCUCUAAUACAGUCGGGGGAUGACGGUACCGGAAGAAUAAGCACCGGCUAACUACGUGCCAGCAGCCGCGGUAAUACGUAGGGUGCAAGCGUUAAUCGGAAUUACUGGGCGUAAAGCGUGCGCAGGCGGUUUGCUAAGACCGAUGUGAAAUCCCCGGGCUCAACCUGGGAACUGCAUUGGUGACUGGCAGGCUAGAGUAUGGCAGAGGGGGGUAGAAUUCCACGUGUAGCAGUGAAAUGCGUAGAGAUGUGGAGGAAUACCGAUGGCGAAGGCAGCCCCCCUGGGCCAAAUACUGACGCUCAUGCACGAAAGCGUGGGGAGCAAACAGGAUUAGAUACCCUGGUAGUCCACGCCCUAAACGAUGUCAACUAGUUNUUGGGGAUUCAUUUCCUAGUAACGUAGCUAACGCGUGAAGUUGACCGCCUGGGGAGUACGUCGCAAGAUUAAAACUCAAAGGAAUUG
rnacentral:rRNA from 1 species